CAUCUCCAACAAACCGAGCCCUGCCACAUACGUAUGUGAGCAGAAUUUUGCCAGAGCAGCUUACUACUCACAGAACCCACAGUGCAUAGAUCGAAAAGGAGGGGAGUGGGAAAUGAAGAAGCCUGAGUUUUUUUUCCAGCUGUAUUAGCUGAUGCGAUAAGUUCUUUUCUUUGACAUGGACUUCAUGUCCCAUCACUCCCUGGAUCCUGAGUUUCUACUGACUGGGCAUGUCGUUUACUUGAAAAUCUGAGAAGUGCAGCAGUUCUUUGAAAAAAGUGGCGGGGAGGCGUUCGGCGAUGUGACCACAAAGCCGCACGUUCAGGCACAAGGGCUGCGAGGAGACGAGAAGCUCACCUGAACCUGAGCUCUUAGAAAACAGACAAAUACGCUGCAUGAUUUUUUUCA